rnacentral:rRNA from 1 species
UACGGAGGGUGCAAGCGUUAUCCGGAUUUAUUGGGUUUAAAGGGUGCGCAGGUUGUUUGAUAAGUCAGUGGUGAAAGUCUGUCGCUUAACGGUAGGAUUGCCAUUGAUACUGUUAGACUUGAAUAUGGAUGAGGUAGGCGGAAUGUGUAGUGUAGCGGUGAAAUGCAUAGAUAUUACACAGAACACCGAUUGCGAAGGCAGCUUACUAAUCCAUCAUUGACGCUGAGGCACGAAAGCGUGGGGAUCAAACAGGAUUA